GCCAGGCUGUGCCCAGAGGGAGGAGACAAAGGGAGAUGGGGAUGGGAGACAGGAAUGGUUUGGUUGGAAGUGAGCCACAACAAUCCAGUCCAAGAUGUUCAAAGGGAAAAGCUUUUCUAAGCAAACAGUUUAAAGGAAAACUCCCAAAGGCAGAGGAAAGAAGGCAGUGCCUGGGCUGACACUGCUCAGAAAAUCAAAUGCAUAAGUGGGAAAGCCCACUCCUUUUCCACCCUGCAGCCCGGGCACAGUGGAGAUGAGGAUGCACAAGAGAUGGCAUGAACUGGAGGGAUGUUACAACGCCCUCAAAUAAAUCACCAGCACAAUGAA